ACGGUUACAGGCAUCGCUAUCAGUUUGUCGCCCCCUCCGCCUAUAAAAGAGGAGACCCCAGAUACGUUAUUCUCUAAGCUCUCAUUUUUAUCUAAAAACUCUGCUAAAAUUUUCGUUCGAGCACUCCAUUCCUGUUGAGGCAGAGAACUGACUUGAGCGUCGGAGGGUCUUGUUGGAGCAACCCCACCUCCGAUUUAGACUUCUUUUGCAGGUUCCUGCGGCGACCGCGACUCCAGCUUCUCCGGCGCAAGCAGAUUUUUGCACCAAC
rnacentral:lncRNA from 1 species